rnacentral:rRNA from 1 species
UGGGGAAUAUUGGACAAUGGGGGCAACCCUGAUCCAGCCAUGCCGCGUGAGUGAAGAAGGCCUUAGGGUUGUAAAGCUCUUUCGGCGGGGACGAUGAUGACGGUACCCGCAGAAGAAGCCCCGGCUAACUUCGUGCCAGCAGCCGCGGUAAUACGAAGGGGGCAAGCGUUGUUCGGAUUUACUGGGCGUAAAGGGCGCGUAGGCGGAUGCGUAAGUCAGAGGUGAAAGCCCUGGGCUCAACCCGGGAAUUGCCUUUGAGACUGCGUGUCUUGAGUAUGGGAGAGGGUGGCGGAAUACCCAGUGUAGAGGUGAAAUUCGUAGAUAUUGGGUAGAACACCAGUGGCGAAGGCGGCCACCUGGCCCAUAACUGACGCUGAGGCGCGAAAGCGUGGGGAGCAAA